UUGAACCAGGCAUGUUUAACUCUCUUUGACUAUAAUAUUUUUAUCAUAAAAGCUUCAUAAUGUCCGUCGAUGGUAAAGAUAGUUUCCCCCUAAACCCCAAGCGGUGAGUGGAUCCCGCCGGUCUUCCGCUGUGUCGAUUGGAGAAGGUAAAUCGUGUUGAACGCAUCACACAUCAUCAAAAAAAAACAAGCUUUGUCGGUCCACAGUCGCGGCAUUGGCUCCAGACAGGCAUCCUUAAACUCAGUUAAUGGCUCCACAACCAGUGUCAAGGAUAUUCGCAUCACGGAAAACCCCCUACAAAAUCCUACAGUUUGAACGACGCUUCGGUGAUUGCGAGUCACGAUCCGGGAGAAAGAUGUGGAACAGUGUGUGAUAUGGACUAUGGUGAUAUGUAAUUUUUUCAUCAUGUCUCUGUAUUUUUUAUUUUAGCGACGACAAUUACUGGAAGGUUGGACGUCAUCUCAGUUGUUGCAGGAGGAGGGGGAGAGAAAGGCAUUUUCUCUCGUCCUCCUCCAUUUUGAGGUGAAAGGGAGACCAAAGAAUUUUUCUUAACGUGGAGAAACUUUUAUUUUACGAUAAGUGACGCGACUUUUUAUUGUUAAAAUUUUGAAGAUUAUAGACAAAAGUCUUUGGUUUUCUUUCCUUCAUGUUUUUUUUUU